rnacentral:lncRNA from 1 species
AAUGAACCCACCCCAAUUUUCCAUCCAGGGAGGGCUUAUUAGGAGUUGGAGCGACAUCUAGGGGGCAGAGAAUAGGUUAAGGUUGAAGGUGGAAUGGGAUAAGUCGUAACUGGUUGGAGGAUGAAUCGGUUUCUCUAAACCAAUUAAAUGGAAAGAGAUGAACCAGUUUCUCUGAACUAACUAAAUGGGAAGAGGAUGAGAAAAAAAACUGACAGAUGGGCCCCACGGUUGAACCAAUUAAAUGGAAAGAGGAUGAAGAAAAAAAAAACUGACAGGUGGGUCUCAUGGCUGAACCAAUUAAAUGAGAAGAGGAUGAGGAAAAAAAAAUAACAGGGCCCCAUGGGCCAUAUAAGUUAGGAUGACAAAUAGGUCCCACACAAAUCCCACACAAAUCCAUAAUUAAGCAAGAUAGUUUAAGAUGACAGGUAGGUCCCACAAAAGGCCAAAAUAAGCAAAUAUUGCCAUGUGGACAAAAGAAAACGGAUUUUCAUAGAAGUUUAUAGAUUUAUCAUUAUGCAAUUUUGUUAUAUUAAAUAGUUAUUGAUAACUUGAAAUAUCGGCAUGUUUUUUUUUUUUUUGAGAGAGAUAGGUAGCAUGCUACCCACUUCGUUUAUUUCAUUUAGAAAUAAACUUAGUUGGAAAUGUGAAUCAACUAGGAUUCGAACUUAGGACCUUGGGUACCAACCACCAAGCCCUUUGCCACUUGCACUAGGGACGGUCGGUAUUGGUAUGUAAUAUUAAUUACUUUUAAAAUUUACUAAUGUUAAAUAGCAUUGCAACAUCACUUCAGUAAAAAAAUUUGCCAAACAACUUUCUAAAAUCACUUCAGCAAAAUCAUUUUUCUAUCAGACUCAGCCAAACGCUCUGCAACUUUUAAUAAAAAUUACUUUUGCAAACCAAAAUUAAUUAUGCAGAAAUCACUUUUUCAAAAUCUAGGCCAAAGG